rnacentral:rRNA from 1 species
AUUGAACGCUGGCGGCAGGCCUAACACAUGCAAGUCGGACGGUAGCACAGAGGAGCUUGCUCUUCGGGUGACGAGUGGCGGACGGGUGAGUAAUGUCUGGGGAUCUGCCCGAUAGAGGGGGAUAACCACUGGAAACGGUGGCUAAUACCGCAUAACGUCGCAAGACCAAAGAGGGGGACCUUCGGGCCUCUCACUAUCGGAUGAACCCAGAUGGGAUUAGCUAGUAGGCGGGGUAACGGCCCACCUAGGCGACGAACCCUAGCUGGUCUGAGAGGAUGACCAGCCACACUGGAACUGAGACACGGUCCAGACUCCUACGGGAGGCAGCAGUGGGGAAUAUUGCACAAUGGGCGCAAGCCUGAUGCAGCCAUGCCGCGUGUAUGAAGUAGGCCUUCGGGUUGUAAAGUACUUUCAGCGGGGAGGAAGGCGAUGUGGUUAAUAACCGCGUCGAUUGACGUUACCCGCAGAAGAAGCACCGGCUAACUCCGUGCCAGCCGCCGCAGUAA